GGGAUGCUGGAGAGCAAUGUGAGGCUUUAAAAAUGUCGUAAAGGAAUAGAAUCCAACAGCCACAUAAAGUUAAGACACCUCCUGCUGGAUAGUGUCCAACAAGUUCAUUUGAGAGCAUUGCUCCAAGGUGUUAGGUGAGGAAAAAGGACCUCGGGAUUUCACCAGGGUGCUUCAGUUCUGAUUGACGCUUCUAAGAUGAUGUCAACUCCUGUCUCAGACAGCAGGCGCC